rnacentral:lncRNA from 1 species
GCCGGGUCCUGUAGGAGGACUGGAGUGAGACCGGAGGAGAAUACCGCGGAGGGCUGCGGGCCGGGCCGAGUGCGCGGGUCCCCGGGGAGAGCGGGAAGAGGGACCUGCUUGCGGGGGCGUGAAGGGUGAAGUGAUCCCAGAUUCCCCAAGACUCGCGGGCGAGGACUCGCGCCGCUUUCCCUCCGAUUGCCUCUCACCCGACACAUUCCGGGCAGCUGGCGUGGGGGGUAGUGGUGGUUGUGGUGGUGUCCACACUUGUCCUGGGACCUGUGAUUUUCUUAGUCACACAAGUUGGCAAAGCAGCGUCCACCGUGGACCAGCCCUGGGUUGCAGGGAACAAGGUGCAGCACCAGGGAAAAGCUACAGAGCGAAGGGAGGCGGAGGACCCCGCUUCUCCAUGCAGCUGCGAACGAAGGCAGUUUUAGUAUGAGUCCCACCAGCAAAAACAAGCUGCUCCUGGACUCUCAGCUAAAUAGUUGCCAUUCGAGGCAACUCAGUGAGCAGCUGGUGUCUCUGUAUGUUCUUUAACUGGGGUGACCAAAGACUGCCCUGGCUACAUCUCAAGACUGAAUGGAAGAAGAAGUACUGGGCCCAUCCUCUUCAGGCACAUCUGACUUCCCUGCAGCUGGCUGCGUGGGAUCUGAAUGCACCUAUUGACCUUGGCGGCAGAAAAGAGGGACAACAGACAGCAGGAAAUUAAGAACAGGUGCAGGACAAAGGGCCAGGCCAAUGCUCUCAGCUCACUCUUUCUUUGAGAAGUUCUCAGCCUGGGAGCUCUGCUGUGAAGACAUCAAACUUCCAACUGUAUCCAGGAUGCUCCAAGGCCACAGCGCUGUGUUCCAGGCCUUGCUGGGGACCUUCUUCACCUGGGGGAUGACAGCAGCUGGGGCAGCUCUCGUGUUCAUAUUCUCUAGUGGACAGAGGCGAAUCCUCGAUGGAAGCCUUGGCUUUGCUGCAGGGGUAAGUUGUGUGUAGGAGGAGAAAUGUCAAUGGAGAUGCAUUUCUUUUGACAUUUCUCUGCUAAGCAUCAUCUCCAGUCUCUUCCCAUGUCACCUAGAUACAUCUCUGGAUUCUCUAAGUGCUAAUGGUUUCCCAUAUUCAUUGCCCAGCUUAUCGGAUGCUCUGCUUCUCAUUAGAUGGUGAGGGAGGAAGCUUGUGUGGUAGCUGUCUCAGGACUUAGAAAAUAAGAUGAUAUUUAGGAAGGGCCUAAUGGGCCUGGCAGAUACACAGUUGGCAGUAAAUAUUUUCUCCCUCUCCUCUUUUUCCUUGUUAAGGGACUUUUUAUUAUAAACAUUUUCAAACAUGAAAAAAAAAACACCGAAAAAACCUAUAUGCAUCCCAGGUGCCCACUACCCUACGUCGGUCAUGACCCACAGUCACUUCACCUGUCUUCUUCCAGCCUUUCUUGGAAGUUGGAAUAUUUUGUACCAACAAAUUCCA